UUUAUCAAGCUUCCCCUUGUUUGCUCUAUCUUGCCUCACUGGUUUCCCCCAAAGGGUGAUGAAUGCUGAUGAGGCUGUGCCCACCCUGAAUAAAGGCAAUCUCUUUUAGGAGAUCACUGGCAUUUAGUUGUACACCCAGAGAACCACGUCAUAUAUUUACUGGUUCGAGCCAGGCUUGUUUAGCAGAUAUAUGUGCUGAGACACCGGAGGACUCUUCAGAAAAAAGAUCUUGCUAUGUCCCCUUCAUGGGUCUGGAGGUCCACAGCUUGGGGAGGAAACAUUUUUUUUGUUACCUUUUUGGGCAAAGCAGGGAAAUUUACAUUACCUACUGUCCAGCUGGUCCCAGUUCUGGCCAUAAGAAAUAGUGCUUUGCUGUAGGCACAUGCUAGAGCACAGGCUCACCACCCUGGCUAAGGAGAAAAAGAAACAACCCAA